UAAGCAUAUCAAUAAGCGGAGGAAAAGAAACCAACCGGGAUUGCCUUAGUAACGGCGAGUGAAGCGGCAAAAGCUCAAAUUUGAAAUCUGGUACCUUCGGUGCCCGAGUUGUAAUUUGGAGAGGGCAACUUUGGGGCCGUUCCUUGUCUAUGUUCCUUGGAACAGGACGUCAUAGAGGGUGAGAAUCCCGUGUGGCGAGGAGUGCGGUUCUUUGUAAAGUGCCCUCGAAGAGUCGAGUUGUUUGGGAAUGCAGCUCUAAGUGGGUGGUAAAUUCCAUCUAAAGCUAAAUAUUGGCGAGAGACCGAUAGCGAACAAGUACAGUGAUGGAAAGAUGAAAAGAACUUUGAAAAGAGAGUGAAAAAGUACGUGAAAUUGUUGAAAGGGAAGGGCAUUUGAUCAGACAUGGUGUUUUGUGCCCUCUGCUCCUUGUGGGUAGGGGAAUCUCGCAUUUCACUGGGCCAGCAUCAGUUUUGGUGGCAGGAUAAAUCCAUAGGAAUGUAGCUUGCCUCGGUAAGUAUUAUAGCCUGUUGGGAAUACUGCCAGCUGGGACUGAGGACUGCGACGUAAGUCAAGGAUGCUGGCAUAAUGGUUAUAUGCCGCCCGUCUUGAAACACGGACCAAGGAGUCUAACGUCUAUGCGAGUGUUUGGGUGUAAAACCCAUACGCGUAAUGAAAGUGAACGUAGGUUGGGGCCUCGCAAGAGGUGCACAAUCGACCGAUCCUGAUGUCUUCGGAUGGAUUUGAGUAAGAGCAUAGCUGUUGGGACCCGAAAGAUGGUGAACUAUGCCUGAAUAGGGUGAAGCCAGAGGAAACUCUGGUGGAGGCUCGUAGCGGUUCUGACGUGCAAAUCGAUCGUCGAAUUUGGGUAUAGGGGCGAAAGACUAAUCGAACCAUCUAGUAGCUGGUUCCUGCCGA
rnacentral:rRNA from 1 species